GACGAACGCUGGCGGCGUGCCUAAUACAUGCAAGUAGAACGCACAGUUUAUACCGUAGCUUGCUACACCAUAGACUGUGAGUUGCGAACGGGUGAGUAACGCGUAGGUAACCUGCCUGGUAGCGGGGGAUAACUAUUGGAAACGAUAGCUAAUACCGCAUAAUAUUAAUUAUUGCAUGAUAAUUAAUUGAAAGGUGCAAUUGCACCACUACCAGAUGGACCUGCGUUGUAUUAGCUAGUAGGUGAGGUAACGGCUCACCUAGGCGACGAUACAUAGCCGACCUGAGAGGGUGAUCGGCCACACUGAGACUGAGACACGGCCCAGACUCCUACAGGAGGCAGCAGUAGGGAAUCUUGGGCAAUGGGCGAAAGUCUGACCGAGCAACGCCGCGUGAGUGAAGAAGGUUUUCGGAUCGUAAAGCUCUGUUGUAAGAGAAGAACGGGUGUGAGAGUGGAAAGUUCACACUGUGACGGUAACUUACCAGAAAGGGACGGCUAAUUACGUG
rnacentral:rRNA from 1 species